GAGUUUUGAUCAUGGCUCAGGAUGAACGCUGGCGGCGUGCUUUAACACAUGCAAGUCGAACGAAGUGGAUGUCUUCGGACUGAAACUUAGUGGCGGACGGGUGAGUAACGCGUGGGUAACCUGCCUCGUACAGGGGGAUAACAGUUAGAAAUGACUGCUAAUACCGCAUAACCCGCUAAGGUCGCAUGACCUGGACGGAAAAGAUUUAUCGGUACGAGAUGGACCCGCGUCUGAUUAGCUAGUUGGUGAGGUAACGGCCCACCAAGGCGACGAUCAGUAGCCGGACUGAGAGGUUGACCGGCCACAUUGGGACUGAGAUACGGCCCAGACUCCUACGGGAGGCAGCAGGUGGGGAAUAUUGGGCAAUGGGCGAAAAGCCUGACCCAGCAACGCCGCGUGAAGGAAGAAGGUCUUCGGAUUGUAAACUUCUUGUUUUUAGUGAAGAAAAAAUGACGGUAGCUAAAGAGGAAGCCACGGCUAACUACGUG
rnacentral:rRNA from 1 species